AUUGAACGCUGGCGGCAGGCCUAACACAUGCAAGUCGAACGGCAGCGGGGGAUAGCUUGCUAUCCUGCCGGCGAGUGGCGGACGGGUGAGUAAUGCAUGGGGAGCUGCCCAGUCGAGGGGGAUAACAACUGGAAACGGUUGCUAAUACCGCAUACGCCCUAGGGGGGAAAGGUGGGGAACUUCGGUCCUACCGCGAUUGGAUGCGCCCAUGUGGGAUUAGCUAGUUGGUGAGGUAACGGCUCACCAAGGCGACGAUCUCUAGCUGGUCUGAGAGGAUGACCAGCCACACUGGAACUGAGACACGGUCCAGACUCCUACGGGAGGCAGCAGUGGGGAAUAUUGCACAAUGGGGGAAACCCUGAUGCAGCCAUGCCGCGUGUGCGAAGAAGGCCUUCGGGUUGUAAAGCACUUUCAGUCAGGAGGAAGGGGUGAUGGCUAAUAUCCAUCAUCAUUGACGUUACUGACAGAAGAAGCACCGGCUAACUCCGUGCCAGCCGCCGCUGUAA
rnacentral:rRNA from 1 species